AGAGCUCGAGGUUAGCUCUUCACUGCCCUGUGUCUUCUUUCCAAGGGUCUCGGUGAUUCGGCCACAGCCUCAGCCUCCAUCACGCGGUGAACUGAUGGUGCUGGAAGAUUCAUAGACUCCAGGACAUUCCUGAAGCCGAGAAAAGGUUAAGUAGGGUCUGGCCUGGAAUACUCUCCUAGAUGAAGAUAGCCCAACCAUGAGCCACCUUCGAAGCAGAUGAGAUGAAAUUAAAGCUCUUCAACUCCUAAAGGCCCAGAGACUAUCACAAAAGAGGUCAGAAAUCCUGAAGGUCACUUUCUGACAAACUCAGGAACCCCAGGUUUAUCUUGGAGCCUCAAGAGGAGAUAAAUUCACCCAACUCAGAAACCACCCCACUGGCAGGAGACGGCGGUAGCUGUGGUCAUUGAAAACAAGCUCCUGCUGAUAAAUCUCAGACACCAGACACAGAAGAACCUGGAGACCCUGCCAGAGAGCUUGAGGCAAAUGGAUGGACUGUUGGAGCAGCUGAGGGUGAAGCAGCACAAACUCCUCAAAGUUGAAUAGCAAAGCAGCCACCAGAGAUGGACAAGAAAAAUGAACAAAGAAAAUUAGCAGAAAUCAAAGGCAGAUGCUAAAGCAGUGCAAAAUCAUUCAUUCAAUGAUAGAAAUGAAAUUGAUGAAGGAGUCUGGAAAAUGAAUGACAGAAGAGAAUUAAACAGCAGUGACCAUAGUAAGGUCCUGACGAUUCUGGUCCACUGAAUCCCAUCAUCCCUAAGACAGUAAAUAUCAUCACAGUCACCACCAGCAAGUUACCACCACAGCAUUUCCUGUUUGUUCCAAAAUGAAUAAAGAUGAUUCUCAUCACAAGGGCAAAUACAAAGUAGUUUAGUAUGUUUUUAACUAAACUAAAGGUGUUUGGUUUACUUUUUCUAAGUUCUCAUAAUUCUGAAAAUGCAGUUGACACUUGUGUGGCUCAUGAUGUUUUUAAUAGUCUAAUGCUACUUGAAUUGUUCAAAAACCACUGUAUUUUAAAUUAAGAUGAAUAAACGGUCCUUUGAAAACUG
rnacentral:lncRNA from 1 species